CGGAACGUGCCCAAUCGUGGGGGAUAACGCAGCGAAAGCUGUGCUAAUACCGCAUACGAUCUACGGAUGAAAGCAGGGGACCGCAAGGCCUUGCGCGAAUGGAGCGGCCGAUGGCAGAUUAGGUAGUUGGUGAGGUAAAGGCUCACCAAGCCUUCGAUCUGUAGCUGGUCUGAGAGGACGACCAGCCACACUGGGACUGAGACACGGCCCAGACUCCUACGGGAGGCAGCAGUGGGGAAUUUUGGACAAUGGGCGAAAGCCUGAUCCAGCAAUGCCGCGUGCAGGAUGAAGGCCUUCGGGUUGUAAACUGCUUUUGUACGGAACGAAACGGUUCUUUCUAAUAAAGAGAGCUAAUGACGGUACCGUAAGAAUAAGCACCGGCUAACUACGUGCCAGCAGCCGCGGUAAUACGUAGGGUGCAAGCGUUAAUCGGAAUUACUGGGCGUAAAGCGUGCGCAGGCGGUUAUGUAAGACAGUUGUGAAAUCCCCGGGCUCAACCUGGGAAUUGCAUCUGUGACUGCAUAGCUAGAGUACGGUAGAGGGGGAUGGAAUUCCGCGU
rnacentral:rRNA from 1 species